UCUGCUCUGCAGACUUUUCCGAUGGUCCCUAACAGGAUUGAAGUCCUCGGCAAGCAGGCAGAGGCAAGCUCUUCAGAAAAAACAAGGUCAUGCUGCAUUUUUUUUUUGGUAAGCACAGGAAUCAACAAAGAGAUGUUAUAUAACUUCUAUUUAUAUCCUCCUUGCUCACUAGCUGCAGGCAUACGAGAGUAGCUGAGAAGGGAAUUUAAUGAGCUCUCAGGGCUUGCUCACCUUCCCAAGCUGGUAGGAGCCAGCCUGGGUUUUUUUGAAGUGCGUCAGCAAAUGAAACUGGUGGCGGGUGGGUGGUAUGGGUAGGUGGACUAACUUGUUGCUAUGGUUUUCUUUAAUUCCCCUGUCUCUUGG
rnacentral:sRNA from 1 species